GAACGCUGGCGGCGUGCCUAAUACAUGCAAGUCGAGCGAACAGACGAGGUGCUUGCACCUCUGACGUUAGCGGCGGACGGGUGAGUAACACGUGGGUAACCUACCUAUAAGACUGGGAUAACUCCGGGAAACCGGGGCUAAUACCGGAUAACAUAUUGAACCGCAUGGUUCAAUAGUGAAAGACGGUUUUGCUGUCACUUAUAGAUGGACCCGCGCCGUAUUAGCUAGUUGGUGAGGUAACGGCUCACCAAGGCGACGAUACGUAGCCGACCUGAGAGGGUGAUCGGCCACACUGGAACUGAGACACGGUCCAGACUCCUACGGGAGGCAGCAGUAGGGAAUCUUCCGCAAUGGGCGAAAGCCUGACGGAGCAACGCCGCGUGAGUGAUGAAGGUCUUCGGAUCGUAAAGCUCUGUUAUUAGGGAAGAACAAACGUGUAAGUAACUGUGCACGUCUUGACGGUACCUAAUCAGAAAGCCACGGCUAACUACGUGCCAGCAGCCGCGGUAAUACGUAGGUGGCAAGCGUUAUCCGGAAUUAUUGGGCGUAAAGCGCGCGUAGGCGGUUUUUUAAGUCUGAUGUGAAAGCCCACGGCUCAACCGUGGAGGGUCAUUGGAAACUGGAAAACUUGAGUGCAGAAGAGGGAAAGUGGAAUUCCAUGUGUAGCGGUGAAAUGCGCAGAGAUAUGGAGGAACACCAGUGGCGAAGGCGGCUUUCUGGUCUGCAACUGACGCUGAUGUGCGAAAGCGUGGGGAUCAAACAGGAUUAGAUACCCUGGUAGUCCACGCCGUAAACGAUGAGUGCUAAGUGUUAGGGGGUUUCCGCCCCUUAGUGCUGCAGCUAACGCAUUAAGCACUCCGCCUGGGGAGUACGGUCGCAAGACUGAAACUCAAAGGAAUUGACGGGGACCCGCACAAGCGGUGGAGCAUGUGGUUUAAUUCGAAGCAACGCGAAGAACCUUACCAAAUCUUGACAUCCUUUGACCGCACUAGAAGAUAGUGUUUUCCUCUUCGGAGGACAAAGUGACAGGUGGGUGCAUGGUUGUCGUCAGCUCCU
rnacentral:rRNA from 1 species